UUUACUUUCAUGCUUUCUCUCUUCUCCCCCAUGUCUACGAUGAACAUGAGUGAGUAGACUUCUCCUUGUCUUGGGAUUGUCGGAUAAGUCUAAAUGACAUAAUCCUAAUCAAACCAAGCUCUAAGCCCUAAUCUUAUGUAACCCUAAUUUCUUAUCUGAAUUCACCGUCUUAACAUGGAUCAACCAUUAUCAAACUGUGGAAA
rnacentral:lncRNA from 1 species